rnacentral:rRNA from 1 species
UCGAGAGGGAAACAGCCCAGACCGCCCGCUAAGGUCCCCAAGUUUAUGCUGAGUGGCAAAGGAUGUGCGUUUGCCUAGACAACCAGGAUGUUGGCUUAGAAGCAGCCAUGCAUUUAAAGAGUGCGUAACAGCUCACUGGUCAAGUGGACAUGCGCCGACAAUUCACGGGGCUAAGCAUAACACCGAAGCGGCGGACUAAUCUAUAUUAGUGGUAGGGGAGCUUUCCCCGCAGCGGAGAAGCCGAGAGGGCGACCCUCGGUGGAGCGCGGGGAAGUGAGAAUGCUGGCAUGAGUAACGAGAGCGGCGCGAGAAACGCCGCCGCCGUAAGCCUAAGGGUUCCUGGGCAAGGCUAAUCCUCCCAGGGUCAGUCGGGAGCUAAGGCGAGGCCGAGAGGCGUAGCCGAUGCGCAACAGGCGGACAUUCCUGUACCGCCUGCGGACCGCUAUCACCGACGGGGUGACGGAGAAGGGUAGCCGAGCGGGGUUCUGGACGUCCCCGUGAAAGCGCGUAGGGAGCAUCGCAUGGAAAUCAGCGGCGCACGUAUCCUGAGACGCGAGACGAAAGCUUAUGCUGAAGUCGGCGAGCCCAUGCUUCCGAGAAAAACCUCUAGGAAGGGACGCAGGCGCCCGUACCAAAACCGACACAGGUGGGCAGGUAGAGCAUACCGAGGCGAUCGGGAGAACCAUGGUUAAGGAACUCGGCAUACUGACUCCGUAACUUCGGGAGAAGGAGUGCCCCUGGCGGUGGAGGGACUAGCUCCCCGAGCGGCCGGGGGUCGCAGCGAAACGGCCCAAGCGACUGUUUAUCAAAAACACAGGACUCUGCAAAGCCGUAAGGCGACGUAUAGGGUCUGACGCCUGCCCGGUGCUGGAAGGUUACGCGGAUGGGUCAGCCGAAAGGCGAAGCUCUGAAGCCAAGCCCCAGUAAACGGCGGCCGUAACUAUAACGGUCCUAAGGUAGCGAAAUUCCUUGUCGGGUAAGUUCCGACCUGCACGAAUGGCGUAACGAUUUGGGCGCUGUCUCAACCAUGGACCCGGUGAAAUUGUAUUAUUCGUGAAGAUGCGAAUUACCUGCGGAAGGACGGAAAGACCCCGUGAACCUUUACUGCAGCUUGACAUUGAUCGUUGGCUCGGCGCGUAGAGGAUAGGCAGGAGGCUGCGAAGCCCGGGCGCCAGCCCGGGCGGAGCCGACCUUGGAAUACUGCCCUCGUCGCGUCGGCGAUCUAACCCCCGGCCGUGAUCCGGCGGGGGGACCGUGUCAGGCGGGUAGUUUGACUGGGGCGGUCGCCUCCCAAAACGUAACGGAGGCGCGCAAAGGUCCGCUCAGAACGGUCGGCAACCGUUCGCAGAGCGCAAGAGUACAAGCGGGCUUGACUGCGAGGCCCACAAGCCGAGCAGAGACGAAAGUCGGUUCUAGUGAUCCGGCGGCACAGAGUGGAAUGGCCGUCGCUCAACGGAUAAAAGGUACUCCGGGGAUAACAGGCUGAUCUUGCCCAAGAGUCCACAUCGACGGCAAGGUUUGGCACCUCGAUGUCGGCUCAUCGCAUCCUGGGGCUGAAGUCGGUCCCAAGGGUAUGGCUGUUCGCCAUUUAAAGCGGUACGCGAGCUGGGUUCAGAACGUCGUGAGACAGUUCGGUCCCUAUCCUCCGCAGGCGCAAGAGGAUUGAGGAGGUCUGCCCCUAGUACGAGAGGACCGGGGUGGACGGACCUCUGGUGCAGCAGUUGUCGACCAACGGCACGGCUGCCUAGCUACGUCCGGCACGGAUAACCGCUGAAAGCAUCUAAGUGGGAAGCCGUCUCCAAGAUGAGUCCUCUUUCCGGUAAGGGCCCAGGCAGAACACCUGGUCGAUAGGCCGCAGGUGCAAGGCGUGCGAGCGCCUCAGCCGAGCGGUACUAAUAGCCCGAGCUCUUCUUC